UGAUUAAGAGAUAAAAACACGGUUUGGUUGGUAGUCCAAACGCAUAAUGCAUGUCAGUAACCUACCCUCGAGGUUGUCCGUUCUCUUGAAAUUAAAU
rnacentral:ncRNA from 1 species